CACGUAGGGUCCGAGCGUUGUCCGGAUUUAUUGGGCGUAAAGGGCCCGUAGGCGGCUUGAUAAGUCGGGUGUGAAAACUCCAGGCUCAACCUGGAGACGCCACCCGAUACUGUCAUGGCUUGAGUCUGGUAGGGGAGUGCGGAAUUCCUGGUUGUAGCGGGUGAAAUGCAUAGAUAUCAGGAGGAACACCGGUGGCGAAGGCGGCACUCUGGGCCCAGUACUGACGCUGAUGGGCGAAAAGCGGUGGGGAGCAAACAGGG
rnacentral:rRNA from 1 species